UUGCUAUUAGAGACCCCUGCAGUGGAUCUCAAUCUCCUCCUGCUUGGCACUAUGAUGCAAGGUGAGAAGAAGACUCAGAGACAGAAUUAAGUGAUGAAAAGCUUGAGGACUCCUGGUGAAGUUUGGUACUGCUGCAGUGAUUUAUGCUGAGACACCACAGUCUUACCCUCCAUUGCGGCUAUCCUCCUGAUGGCCCUGUCAGGUUGGGUCUGGCCAUGCGCUAAAUAUCUGCUUCUUGAACUGGCAACCGGUCCUUGGUCUUGGCCUUGAUCAGGCAUCCUUGACUUGCUGGGCAGUAGCGGCGACCCUUCAACACCCUAAGGCACUGCACAUCCAAUACGAGCUUCCCAGGGCCAAAGGGAUUCCUUGGGUGCCUCAAGACACCCAGAGAGUAUGGUCAUGGUGCCGCUAGGACCCCAGAGCCCAGUGCAUCGCAACGAAAGAUCUCAAAACAUGCUUUUAAAGAACUCAGAAAGUGUCUUUGGUCCACUGUGCUGUGACACUUAGAACUAAGGGAACUCCAGCUAUCCAGAGGUGCCUGUCACCCCACCUCAGCCUCAACAGAAGUGGCCCCUGGGUUGUUUCUGAAGAUUAAACAGUAUUUGAGCCUUUCGGCAAAAACUGAAGUGAGUA